GAUGAACGCUGGCGGCGUGCCUAAUACAUGCAAGUCGAGCGAACGGACGAGAAGCUUGCUUCACUGAUGUUAGCGGCGGACGGGUGAGUAACACGUGGAUAACCUACCUAUAAGACUGGGAUAACUUCGGGAAACCGGAGCUAAUACCGGAUAAUAUUUUGAACCGCAUGGUUCAAAAGUGAAAGACGGUCUUGCUGUCACUUAUAGAUGGAUCCGCGCUGCAUUAGCUAGUUGGUGAGGUAACGGCUUACCAAGGCAACGAUGCAUAGCCGACCUGAGAGGGUGAUCGGCCACACUGGAACUGAGACACGGUCCAGACUCCUACGGGAGGCAGCAGUAGGGAAUCUUCCGCAAUGGGCGAAAGCCUGACGGAGCAACGCCGCGUGAGUGAUGAAGGUCUUCGGAUCGUAAAACUCUGUUAUUAGGGAAGAACAUAUGUGUAAGUAACUGUGCACAUCUUGACGGUACCUAAUCAGAAAGCCACGGCUAACUACGUG
rnacentral:rRNA from 1 species